rnacentral:rRNA from 1 species
CCUACGGGUGGCAGCAGUAGGGAAUAUUGCUCAAUGGGGGAAACCCUGAAGCAGCAACGCCGCGUGGAGGAUGAAGGUCUUCGGAUUGUAAAAUCCUUUUGUGAGAGAAGAUAAGGAUGGGAUCUAACGAAUAAGCACUGGCUAACACCGAGCCAGCAGCCGAGGAAAUACGGAGGGUGCAAGCGUUACGCGGAAUCACUGGGCGUAAAGAGCGCGUAGGCGGGAUAGCAAGUCAGAUGUGAAAUCCUAUGGCUUAACCAUAUAACUGCAUUUGAGACUGUUAUUCUAGAGUAUGGGAGAGGGAGGUGGAAUUCUUGGUGUAGGGGUGAAAUCCGUAGAGAUCAAGAGGAAUACUCAU